rnacentral:rRNA from 1 species
AUUGAACGCUGGCGGCAGGCUUAACACAUGCAAGUCGAGCGAGCGGCGGACGGGUGUGUAAUGUGUGGGAAACUGCCUGCUGGAGGGGGAUAACUACUGGAAACGGUAGCUAAUACCGCAUACCAUCAGAUGUGCCCAGAUGGGAUUAUCUAGUAGGUGGGGUAAUGGCUCACCUAGGCGACCAUCCCUAGCUGGGCUGAGAGGAUGACCAGCAACACUGGAACUGAGACACGGUCCGGACGACUACGGGAGGCAGCAGUGGGGAAUAUUGAACAAUGGGCGCAAGACGGAUGCAGCCAUGCCGCGUGUGUGAAGAAGGCCUGCGGGUUGUAAAGCACUUUCAGCGAGGAGGAGUUACUCGCAGAAGAAGCACCGGCUAACUCCGUGCCAGCAGCCGCGGUAAUAC